GACGAACGCUGGCGGCGUGCUUAACACAUGCAAGUCGAACGGAAAGGCCCUUCGGGGUGCUCGAGUGGCGAACGGGUGAGUAACACGUGGGUGAUCUGCCCUGCACUUUGGGAUAAGCCUGGGAAACUGGGUCUAAUACCGGAUAGGACUACGGGCUGCAUGGUCUGUGGUGGAAAGCUUUUGCGGUGUGGGAUGGGCCCGCGGCCUAUCAGCUUGUUGGUGGGGUGAUGGCCUACCAAGGCGACGACGGGUAGCCGGCCUGAGAGGGUGACCGGCCACACUGGGACUGAGAUACGGCCCAGACUCCUACGGGAGGCAGCAGUGGGGAAUAUUGCACAAUGGGCGCAAGCCUGAUGCAGCGACGCCGCGUGAGGGAUGACGGCCUUCGGGUUGUAAACCUCUUUCAGUGCCGACGAAGCGCAAGUGACGGUAGGCAUAGAAGAAGGACCGGCCAACUACGUGCCAGCCGCCGC
rnacentral:rRNA from 1 species